rnacentral:snRNA from 1 species
GUGCUCGCUUCGGCAGCACAUAUACUAAAAUCG